UUCAUUUCUAGGUGAGGGCUAUUGACAUUGCAGUGCUGGAAUUGCCAGCAUUUGUUUGGAGAGUUGGACACAACCAGGGCUUUGUUAUCAUGGUGCUGUCUCAUCUUUGCUUAUGAACCCUGUUGUGAUGGAGAGAAAAGGAAGAACAUCUGCUCCCUCCUGGAAGCCUUCACUUUGCAGAUUCCAUCCUUUGACUUCAACUCCUUCUGCAUAAAGGAAAACGUAUACUCUCUGUGUUGCGUUUUCAUUUGUAUACCAUUCUGGGAUCUUCUCCGAAACAAACCACUGUGAAAUGACUCUCUUGAAUAAGACUCCAUUCAGGAAAUCCUUCUGUUGGUGCUAAUGGGAUGACCUCACAGACAGGAGGUAUUUAGUCUCAUUCCUAAUUUACCUUCAAAAGGU
rnacentral:lncRNA from 1 species